GACGAACGCUGGCGGCGUGCUUAACACAUGCAAGUCGAACGGUAAGGCCCUUCGGGGUACACGAGUGGCGAACGGGUGAGUAACACGUGGGUGAUCUGCCCUGCACUUCGGGAUAAGCCUGGGAAACUGGGUCUAAUACCGGAUAGGACCACUGCCUGCAUGGGUGGCGGUGGAAAGCUGUUGCGGUGUGGGAUGGGCCCGCGGCCUAUCAGCUUGUGGGUGGGGUGAUGGCCUACCAAGGCGACGACGGGUAGCCGGCCCGAGAGGGUGACCGGCUACACUGGGACUGAGAUACGGCCCAGACUCCUACGGGAGGCAGCAGUGGGGAAUAUUGCACAAUGGGCGCAAGCCUGAUGCAGCGACGCCGCGUGAGGGAUGACGGCCUUCGGGUUGUAAACCUCUUUCAGCACCGACGAAGCGCAAGUGACGGUAGGUGCAGAAGAAGGACCGGCCAACUACGUGCCAGCCGCCGCAGUAA
rnacentral:rRNA from 1 species